UACGGGGGGGGUAAGCGUUGUUCGGAAUUAUUGGGCGUAAAGAGCUCGUAGGCGGUCUGUCGCGUCGGUCGUGAAAACUUGGGGCUUAACCCUGAGCUUGCGGUCGAUACGGGCAUGACUGGAGUUCGGCAGGGGAGACUGGAAUUCCUGGUGUAGCGGUGAAAUGCGCAGAUAUCAGGAGGAACACCGGUGGCGAAGGCGGGUCUCUGGGCCGAUACUGACGCUGAGGAGCGAAAGCGUGGGGAGCGAACAGG
rnacentral:rRNA from 1 species